rnacentral:rRNA from 1 species
GACGGAGGAUGCAAGUGUUAUCCGGAAUCACUGGGCGUAAAGCGUCUGUAGGUGGUUUAAAAAGUCCACUGUUAAAAAUUGAAGCUUAACUUCAAAGAUGCCGUGGAAACUUUUAAACUUGAGUAUGGUAGGGGUAGAGGGAAUUCCAGUGGAGCGGUGAAAUGCGUAGAUAUUGGAAAGACCACCAAUGGCGAAGGCACUCUACUGGGCCAUUACUGACACUGAGAGACGAAAGCUAGGGGAGCAAAUGGG